AGCUAAAUAGCUCAGUGGGUAGAUGAUGAGACUCUUAAUCUCAGGGUUGUGGGUUUGAGCCCCACGUUGGGUA